rnacentral:rRNA from 1 species
UACGUAGGGGGCAAGCGUUGUCCGGAAUCAUUGGGCGUAAAGAGCGCGUAGGCGGCCCAGUAAGUCCGCUCUGAAAGUCAGAGGCUCAACCUCUGAAUGCGGGUGGAUACUGCUGGGCUAGAGUCCGGAAGAGGCGAGUGGAAUUCCUGGUGUAGCGGUGAAAUGCGCAGAUAUCUGGAGGAACACCGGUGGCGAAGGCGGCAUCCUGGACCGACACUGACGCUGAGGAGCGAAAGCCAGGGGAGCAAACGGG